GACGAACGCUGGCGGCGUGCUUAACACAUGCAAGUCGAACGGAAAGGCCCUGCUUUUGUGGGGUGCUCGAGUGGCGAACGGGUGAGUAACACGUGAGUAACCUGCCCUUGACUUUGGGAUAACUUCAGGAAACUGGGGCUACUACCGGAUAGGAGCUCCUGCUGCAUGGUGGGGGUUGGAAAGUUUCGGCGGUUGGGGAUGGACUCGCGGCUUAUCAGCUUGUUGGUGGGGUAGUGGCUUACCAAGGCUUUGACGGGUAGCCGGCCUGAGAGGGUGACCGGCCACAUUGGGACUGAGAUACGGCACAGACUCCUACGGGAGGCAGCAGUGGGGAAUAUUGCACAAUGGGCGGAAGCCUGAUGCAGCAACGCCGCGUGCGGGAUGACGGCCUUCGGGUUGUAAACCGCUUUCGCCUGUGACGAAGCGUGAGUGACGGUAAUGGGUAAAGAAGCACCGGCUAACUACGUG
rnacentral:rRNA from 1 species